UCCGUAGGCGGACUAAUAAGUCAGAGGUGAAAUCCCGCAGCUCAACUGUGGAACUGCCUUUGAAACUGUUAGUCUUGAGUUAUUGUGAAGUGGUUAGAAUAUGUAGUGUAGCGGUGAAAUGCUUAGAGAUUACAUGGAAUACCGAUUGCGAAGGCAGAUCACUAACAAUAUACUGACGCUGAUGGACGAAAGCGUGGGGAGCGAACAGGAUUAGAUACCCUGGUAGUCC
rnacentral:rRNA from 1 species